UACAGGGGGUGCAAACGUUGCUCGGAAUCAUUGGGCGUAAAGCGCACGUAGGCGGUUCGUUAUGUCGGAUGUGAAAGCCCUUGGCUUAACCGAGGAAGUGCAUCCGAAACUGGCGAGCUAGAGUACUAAAGAGGAAGCUAGAACGAACGGUGUAGUAGUGAAAUGCGUUGAUAUCGUUCGGAAUACCAAUAGCGAAGGCAGGCUUCUGGGUACUACCUGACACUGCUAGGACGAAAGCGUGGGGAGCGAAUGGG
rnacentral:rRNA from 1 species